rnacentral:rRNA from 1 species
UGGGGAAUUGUUCGCAAUGGGCGCAAGCCUGACGACGCAACGCCGCGUGGAGGACGAAGAUCUUCGGGUCGUAAACUCCUGUCGAGCGGGACGAACACCUAUCGGGUGAAUAGCCCGGAAGGCUGACGGUACCGCUAAAGGAAGCCCCGGCUAACUCCGUGCCAGCAGCCGCGGUAAUACGGGGGGGGCAAGCGUUGUUCGGAAUUACUGGGCGUAAAGGGCUCGUAGGCGGCCAACUAAGUCAGACGUGAAAUCCCACGGCUCAACCGUGGAACUGCGUCUGAUACUGGAUGGCUUGAAUCCGGGAGAGGGAUGCGGAAUUCCAGGUGUAGCGGUGAAAUGCGUAGAUAUCUGGAGGAACACCGGUGGCGAAGGCGGCAUCCUGGACCGGCAUUGACGCUGAGGAGCGAAAGCCAGGGGAGCAAACGGG